ACAAGCUGUAAUCAAUCAGCUGGGUAUAAGAUGGGGUUUUCACCCUUUCCAAGCUGCAUGAGCUCCAGCCACCCCUAGGAGGAGACAACAUAUCACGCAUCUCAAGACCUGGAGGGAGAAUGGCAAGCAGCUGAUUCAUCUCCAUUGCCUGUGAAACACUGCUACUCCACGUGUCACUUCUCACUCAGGGGUCCCCUCCUCACUCCUCCCUACUCAAGGGUAACCUCCAUCCUGAAUUUUGUGCUUAUCAUUCCCUUUUUUUUUCUUUAU
ensembl:lncRNA novel transcript, antisense to SSH2